rnacentral:rRNA from 1 species
UACGUAGGUGGCAAGCGUUGUCCGGAUUUACUGGGCGUAAAGCGUGCGUAGACGGUUGCGUAAGUCAGAUGUGAAAGCCCCGGGCUCAACCUGGGAAUUGCAUUUGAGACUGCGUAGCUAGGGUGCGGAAGAGGGAAGCGGAAUUUCCGGUGUAGCGGUGAAAUGCGUUGAUAUCAGGAGGAACACCCAUGGCGAAGGCAGCAAACUGGUCGGCAUCUGACGCUGAGGCGCGAAAGCGUGGGUAGCAAACAGG